GGAGUUAUAGAACUCCGGUUAUAACAUUUUUCGUCGAAAAAACCUAAAUAUUUAAAUAGUCAUAACUUGCUCAUUUUAAGUCGGAAUGAGCUCAUUUUUGGACAGUAGGUACUUUAUACCAUAUAUUUUCAUGUCCCAAAAGGCCGAAAUUUUUGUCACAAACUAAGUGGCCGAAAAUGCCCUUUUAAAUUUAUGGGCAGUAGCUUUUUAGUAUAUUUCAGUUUUGACUCCUUUGCUAAAAUCAGUUCACACGAAAAUCUACAACACCUUUUCCAGUGAUUCCACUUGGAAAAGUUAGAAAACUCAUAGAUCUAACUCUAGAACUUGACAACACUCAAAAAUUCAAAAUAUAAUAGGAGAUAUGGUCAAUUGAAUUUCAUGUUCCAUUUUCACCAAAAUCUGAUUUUCAACCCUUAGUGAUUUCUAAGAAACUUUCAUAUUUUCACAUAAUAACCAACAUAACUCAUCAUAACACUUACUAAUACUAUAUAUACCCAUGAUUUUCAUCAGUCCAAUGCUUUUAUUAUGACUUUCAUCAUAAUCAACAGUCCAAUGCUUAUAUUAUGACUUUUCAGAAUUUUUGAGGGUCAAAAAAGUUACGAAACUGCAAAUGGAUUUUCACCCGCCAUGCGGUAAUCCAUGUAGACAGAUCAUUUCCACAAUUUAAUAAGGAAUGAAAUACAAAGGAUUAUUCACCAUGCAUGUGGUAAUCCACAUAGACAGGUUAUUCCAACAGAAUAAUAAAGAAUGGAAUAACAGAAGGAUUCACCAUGCAUGCGAUAGAUUGCACAGACAGGUUAUUCCCAACAGAAUAAUAAAUAAUGGAACCAGGUCAUGCAUAAACGCACAGACAGGAUAUUCUGACAGAAUAAUAAAGAAUGGAACCAGGUCAUGCGUAAACGCACAGACAUGAUAUUCCAAUAGAAUAAUAAAGAAUGGAAUAAUAGAAGAAUUUCACCAUGUAUGCUGCACUUCGCAUAUACAGGUUAUUCCAAUAGAAUAAUAAGGAAUGGAAUAAUAGAAGAAUUUCACCAAGUAUAGGGUAGUCCAUGUAUACAGGUUAUUCCAACAAAAUAAUAAAGAAUGAAAUAACAGAAGUUCUCUUCAUGAAUACGAAAGAAAUAAUACCCCUUACGAGUACAACAAAUAAUAUCCCUUACGAGUACAACAAAUAAUAUCCCUUACCUUAGAAGAAACUGGAUAUAGGAGUAGUGAAGUAGCAGAAUACUUUUCUUCUUUCUCUCUAUAGUUUCUCUCUCUAGAGUUUCAGUGAAUUCGUAAGAAAUAAUGAAGGAAUGAGCUUCUAUUUAUAGGAGAAUGGACUGAAUAGUAACUAAUUCAUGAACGGUCCAGAUUGAUUUACUUUUAAACGGACGGUCCAUAUUGAUUUACUAUGCAGUAUUAAUAAAAUAUUCUAAUAAAACAAAAUCUUUUAAAUAAAAUAUAAUAUAUUCUAUUUAUAAUCUAAUAAAACGAAUAACUUUAUAAAAGUAUUCUGUUUUAUAUAAAAAGAUUUUACUAUGCAAACACUAUGCAGGCACUAUGCAAACACUAUGCAUAAUAAAAUAUAAUAUAUUCUAAUUAUUGUCUAAUAAAACAAAUAACUUUAUAAAAGUAUUCUGUUUUAUAUAAAAAGAUUUUACUAUGCAAAACACUAUGCAUAAUAGAAUAUAAUAUAUUCUAUUUAUAGUCUAAUAAAACGAAUAACUUUAUAAAAGUAUUCUGUUUUAUAUAAAAAGAUUUUACUAUGCAAACACUAUGCAGGCACUAUGCAAACACUAUGCAUAAUAAAAUAUAAUAUAUUCUAAUUAUUGUCUAAUAAAACAAAUAACUUUAUAAAAGUAUUCUGUUUUAUAUAAAAAGUUUUUCUGUUUUAUUAUAUUAAUAAUACUAAUAAAACAAAACUCAUUAUUAUUAUUAUAAUUCAUACAAUUAAUCGACCAGGUCGUUCCCAGGAAAGAUGGGGCUUUCUAAUAAAGAUUUCUCCCUAUUGGCGCGCAAUUAGGUGACCAAACCUCUCAUUGACAGAACUUCUAGACAUCGUUAAUAUUACAAAUAAUAAUGUUAAUAACUUCCUCGUCUCAAUUAUUGAUUUAAUAAUAUAUAAAAUAUCGACAAUAAUUGAAUCAAACUAAGUGACUUCUCAUUCACGUAAGCAUUAAUAAUCAAUACCGUGUGCUACUAUGCAACCACGCGUAUUUUACCACCAAUUAUUUUAUGACCACUUGCUUACUUUGAAAAAUGUUCAAAUGUCACCCUUAACUUUAAACUUUUAUCAAUUUAACUAUUUACCAAAAUAGAAAAAAAUUGAAUACUUUUAUUUCAUAAAAUUCGGGGUCUCACAAUCUCCCCUCCUUAUGAAAUUUCACCCUCGAAAUUUACGUACGUACCUGGUAUUCGAAGAGAUGAGAAUACCUUGCUUUCUUUUCGGAUUGUACCUUCCCGGUUAUUUUCUCUGUAUCAUGAUUUUCCCAUGGCUCAUUUCUUGUGUUUCAGAUAUCAUUCUAGAAUAUACUUCAAAACAAAGGUUAAUUGACAUAUCAUAAUUUGUCAACUUAUCAAGUAAACAAUUUCAGCUUAGGUAAGUCACACACUAGCAAAGUAUAUUACUCGUCUCUCCCCUCCUAGUUCUAGACUCAUAUCUCUGCUAGCGACUAUAUCCCUAAGCUCUGAUACCAAAUGUGACACCCCCAAAAAUAGGUAUACAUCACCCAUCUUGAGUCACUAGAAAAUACACUACUGACAACUUUAUUUAUACAACUGUCGUGCAAAAUACGAUGACAUAUAUACUAUGAGUUUCAAUACAAAUAUAUAUAACUCUCGUGGUGCCUCGACCACAACCUUACAAUGGUACCUUACAUAAAGGUACAAUCAGUAACUGUUUUAGAGAUUAAAAUCUUUAGAAAAUACUCAAGGAAACCUUCGUACAUGGGAAUCCAUGCGUCUAGGUUAUGAUAUAUAUCAUAUGUCCACAGAAUUAUCCUUGGUUGACCCAAUAGUCCCCAAAGAAAAACAAGAAGAUUGCUAUCAUCUUCUUUCCAAUGGUGAGUCUUUUCUUGACAUAUAACUAUCUCCGUUGUCUCCAAGUGAGAAUUAUAUUUUAAAUAAACUCCAAAAUCAUAUAGGUAGUGCUCGUAGAUAUACUCAGCAAGUGGAUGUGCACAACCCUGUUUUAUGAUAACAUGAGGUUGUAUGUCAUUAGACAUCUUGUAUGAUACUGAAAAAACACCCUUCCAAAGUUGGAUUCACCUCACCCUAUUCGCUUCACCAAAAUUAAAUAUAAAAUGACGUAUACAAUACGGCACACGUAUCUAAAAUUCUUAAUAAAAUUAUUUCCAUACUAUUUAGGGAGAACUUCAACAGCUAUAGACCACCGUUCUAUCCUCCUGUUACCCCCGCUCGACCCAGCUACACUCUUAUUACCUGAAAGGAAUUUUGAAGCAAAAGGGUGAGCACAACUAGCCCAGUAAAAAUAUCAUGACUAAAGAUAAUUUCCAUCAUCAAUAGCCGUUAUCAGUAAUAAAUCAGAGAUUUAGAACAUAUGGUAGAUGAUAAAACUUUUCAACCAUAGUUGCAGCGGAACGAGUAAUCCAUUAGAAGAGUCAAAUAGACCAUAAUGUUUAUUAUCUUCUCUAUGUUAAAAGUCCACCAACAAUGUUUUAUCCCUGUAACAUCAAUCAACAGUUCCUGUCCACAAUCAUAUGAAUAACUCAUAAUCAUAAUUGUGGUUUCCUUUUCUCAUCCAGGACGAAGAUAAUUUUCAUCACCUAUCUUUACCUGAAACAUCAAAAAUCAUGGUCAUACCAAAUCACAGUUCCUGUUUAUAAUCAUACUUAAUAAAUUCAUCUUUGCACUACGGGCCAAAGAUAUUCAUUAACAGUUCAUCUUUGCACUACAUGCCAAAGAUAUUCAACAACAGAUCAUCUUUGCACUACGGGCCAAAGAUAUUCAUUAACAGUUCAUCUUUGCACUACAUGCCAAAGAUAUUCAACAACAGAUCAUCUUUGCACUACAGGCCAAAGACAUAAAACUGUAUAACCAAUAACCAACAGUUCAUCUUUGCACUACAUGCCAAAGGUAUACAACUGUAAAACCAAUAAUGCUGAGACUCAGCUUAAUAGUUCACGACCACGAAUUAUCCAUGCACUACGGGCUAAGGAUAUUCGUGUUUUCAAUUACGGUCAUGAUUAUACCGAAUAAUUCCUGGUCAUAAUCAUACCAAGUCCAUCUAUGCACGUAAGCCACAGAUGACUUUCAACACAAUGUAAGCAUGAGGAUCAUGACAAUGAUAUAAAGAAUCAAUCAAAUGAGAUAAAAGAUAAAUAUUAAAUAUUUAUAAUAUAAUUUAUCCAGAGUUCAAGAAUAUCCCAAUGUUAUCAAUCACUUAAUAAUCUCAUAAUCUAAUAUCAUUAAUAUUAUAACAAUAUUUUAAUCACUUCUUAAACUUAUAAAUAAUUUAUUUUAAUUGUUUACACUUUACCAAAUAAUGUAUUUAAUCAUUCAAAAAUGCCAUACUCAUAAGAUUUCAUCACCAAUGAUCAAAUCCCUUAUCAAAAAUCUGCAUAUACCCUAUAUAGGAUUCCCAAGCCAUAAAAUCCUAUUUACCAAUUUUGUUACUUCACAUAACAUAUUUAAUUCAUUUACUAAUAGCUAGUUCAGUUUCAUGAAAAAUACCAAAUCAGUCCCAAAAAUAUUUCUUUUCUGAGAUUUAACAGGAUAUAGUCCCAAAUUGAACAUAUAUUUUUCUCAGAAUUUUUUAAAAUUCAUUUACUAUUUUUCAAAAAUAAAUUUCUAAUUAAUUCCUUAAGAAAUUAGCUACCUCAAGUUUAACUCCAGAAAUUCCCAAAUCUUGGCAGGAUCUUACACAUGUUAACGUGAGCUUCCAGUUUAAAUUUCAUGGUCAUCGGAGUUAUAGAACUCCGGUUAUAGUAUUUUUUGUCGGAAAAAUCUAAAUAUUUAAAAAGUCAUAACUUGCUCAUUUUAAGUCGGAAUGAGCUCAUUUUUGGACAGUAGGUACUUUAUACCAUAUAUUUUCAUGUCCCAAAAGGCUGGAAUAUUUCUCACAAACUAAGUGGCCGAAAAUGCCCUUUUAAAUUUAUGGACAGUAGCUUUUUAGUACAUUUUAGUUUUUGACUCCUUUGCUAAAAUCAGUCCACACGAAAAUCUACAACACCUUUUCCAGUGAUUCCACUUGGAUAACUUAGAAAACUCAUAGAUCUAACUCUAGAACUUGACCACACUCAAAAAUUCAAAAUAUAAUAGGGGAUAUGGUCAAUUGAAUUUCAUGUUCCAUUUUCACCAAAAUCUGAUUUUCAACCCUUUGUGAUUUCUAAGAAACUUUCAUGUUUUCACAUAAUAACCAACAUAACUCAUCAUAACACUUACUAAUACUACAUAUACCCAUGAUUUUCAUUAGUCCAAUGCUUUUAUUAUGACUUUCAUCAUAAUCAACAGUCCAAUGCUUAUAUUAUGACUUUCCAGAAUUUUUGAGGGUUAGAAAAGUUACGAAACUGCAAAUGGAUUUUCACCCGCCAUGCGGUAAUCCACGUAGACAGAUCAUUUCCAUAAUUUAAUAAGGAAUAAAAUACAAAGGAUUAUUCACCAUGCAUGUGGUAAUCCAAUAGACAGGUUAUUCCAACAGAAUAAUAAAGAAUGGAAUAACAGAAGGAUUCACUAUGCAUGCGAUAGAUCGCACAGACAGGUUAUUCCCAACAGAAUAAUAAAUAAUGGAACUAGGUCAUGCAUAAACGCACAGACAGGAUAUUCUGACAGAAUAAUAAAGAAUGGAACCAGGUCAUGCGUAAACGCACAGACAUGAUAUUCCAACUGAAUAAUAAAGAAUAGAAUAAUAGAAGAAUUUCACCGUGUAUGCGGCACUUCGCAUAUACAGGUUAUUCCAACAUAAUAAUAAAGAAUGGAAUAACAGAAGAAUUUCACCAUGUAUGUGGUACUUCGCAUAUACAGGUUAUUCCAACAGAAUAAUAAGGAAUGGAAUAACAGAAGAAUUUCACCAAGUAUAGGGUAGUCCACGUAUACAUGUUAUUUCAACAAAAUAAUAAAGAAUGGAGUAACAGAAGUUCUCUUCAUGAAUACGAAAGAAAUAAUACCCCUUACGAGUACAACAAAUAAUAUCCCUUACCUUAGAAGAAAC
rnacentral:lncRNA from 1 species